UGGGGAAUAUUGGACAAUGGGCGCAAGCCUGAUCCAGCCAUGCCGCGUGAGUGAUGAAGGCCCUAGGGUUGUAAAGCUCUUUCACCGGUGAAGAUAAUGACGGUAACCGGAGAAGAAGCCCCGGCUAACUUCGUGCCAGCAGCCGCGGUAAUACGAAGGGGGCUAGCGUUGUUCGGAUUUACUGGGCGUAAAGCGCACGUAGGCGGACUUUUAAGUCAGGGGUGAAAUCCCGGGGCUCAACCCCGGAACUGCCUUUGAUACUGGAAGUCUUGAGUAUGGUAGAGGUGAGUGGAAUUCCGAGUGUAGAGGUGAAAUUCGUAGAUAGUCGGAGGAAAACCAGUGGCGAAGGCGGCUCACUGGACCAUUACUGACGCUGAGGUGCGAAAGCGUGGGGAGCAAACAGG
rnacentral:rRNA from 1 species